AUGUAAUCACUGCCUUCUCCAGUGACACCACCAGCUGUCCAAUCUAUGAGCUGUGCACCACUCGUCCUUCCCCCGCACUCAGCCCAGACUCAAGGCCUGCCAGCCUGUCUGACUCCUGCUCUUUCUACAGCAGCACUGACUCAGUCACGGGACGACUUGCAGAUUUUUUUCCGAUUGGCCCAGAGAGCAGUCCGAGUGGCCCUAUUGAACAGAAUGGGCCAAUCAGUGGUGAGCCCAUUUAUGCAGAGAGCAGUAAGCGAAAGAGGAGGCCACAAUGGGAGAAGAAGGAACUGCAACAGGAGCAGCCGGAGCAGGAGGUCAAGGCUGGCGAGAGUCAAAGGACCACCAUCACCGUUAUGGCUGCCCACACAGAGAAGAAUAAUCGUACUUUCUACCUGAGCAGCCCGGACUCAGCUGUUAGCACACAGUGGCCACACUUCAGCCCCACUGCACUUGAAGACCCCCGCAGUCCUACCUUCAAGUGGCCCACGCCCACCUUCCCUAUGGAGACCCCCUCAUCCUCAUCAGGCCUUCCUCAGCCCAAGCCCCAGUGUAGCCCGCCCCUUCCACCUAAGAGGAACUCCCGUUCCCCAAAGCUGGGAGCCUCUAGUCUUUCCCCUGUCCCUCUUCUUGAUUUAAGCUUCAUCUCUGUCUCCACCGUGGGCAAAUCCCACCAUCCCAACAGCCUGUCUCCAGGCCUUCUGGCCGGCAACGGCAUGGAGCGGAGGCACAGCGGCAUGGAGAGGAGCAUGGAGAGGAGGCACAAACUGUCCAGUAGCACCUGGACCCAAGAGGUCCGCAUAGAGGAGGAGGAGGAGGAGAAGGAGGCAGAGGAGGGUGUGGCUGAAAAGGUUGGGCUCAGUGAGCAUCCUGCCAAUGGGACUGCUGUCUGGAAAGAGAACAAGGACUGUAACUCCAGUAUGCAGAGUGAGGGCACCGCAGACAAUGGUGCCAGUCAGGAGCAGGCAGUCGUCCGAGUCGUGCAGGGCACUUGGGGUGGCAGCAUGUUGGCAACAGGGUCGACAGCAGCAUCUCUCAUCCACGGUCAUGGCCACCCACGUUCACGUUCGGAAGGAAAGGUUGGUAACCGGGAGGCCACGCCACCUCCACCUCCUCCAAAGAAGCAGCACAGGCCAUGCCCUAAGAUGAGCCGGAGCAGUGUGGAGCUGGAUGGGGUGAGCCAACAGGGAGCAGUGGACAGUCUGACACAGUCUCUGCGAGGGCUGGCCAACAGCCUGACCACUGCCUCCACUGACAGCCUGACGCC
ensembl:lncRNA